GAAGAGCGCAUGCGCCUUCCUUCUCCCGGACUCUGCCAUUGAAAGCUUUUCACUCAGUGAGAGAGAGACCUUUGUUUCAAAGAGAUAGAAAUACAAAUAUUAGUGCCCAGGCAAAUACAUGAAGGAAUCAGUUUCAAGCUGAUGAUUCUCCCAGCCAAAUUAAAAGUGCAGGCGCCUCCUUCUGACUGACAGCAGAAAACAGCAAGUGCCGAAUAUAACAACUUGUUCCGAUCAGUAUGGAGGGCGAUGAGUUGGCCACUACCAUUGCUUCUUUAACGGGGGGCUAGCUUGGCCAGUUCCAAAAGCAGCAUUAGGCCCGUUGCUUCUCGACGAGUGUUCAGAAACGAUAAGGUGCAAGUUAAUGUAGCCUGAA